UACGGAGGGGGCUAGCGUUGUUCGGGAUUACUGGGCGUAAAGCGCACGUAGGCGGCUUUGUAAGUUAGAGGUGAAAGCCCAGGGCUUAACCUUGGAAUUGCCUUUAAGACUGCAUCGCUAGAAUUGUGGAGAGGUAAGUGGAAUUCCGAGUGUAGAGGUGAAAUUCGUAGAUAUUCGGAAGAACACCAGUGGCGAAGGCGACUUACUGGACACAUAUUGACGCUGAUGUGCGAAAGCGUGGGGAGCAAACAGG
rnacentral:rRNA from 1 species